rnacentral:rRNA from 1 species
GACGAACGCUGGCGGCGUGCUUAACACAUGCAAGUCGAACGCUGAAGCUCAGCUUUUGUUGGGUGGAUGAGUGGCGAACGGGUGAGUAACACGUGAGUAACCUGCCUCCUUCUUUGGGAUAACGCCCGGAAACGGGUGCUAAUACUGGAUAUUCACUGGUCUUCGCAUGGGGGUUGGUGGAAAGGGUUUUUCUGGUGGGGGAUGGGCUCGCGGCCUAUCAGCUUGUUGGUGGGGUGAUGGCCGACCAAGGCUUUGACGGGUAGCCGGCCUGAGAGGGUGACCGGUCACAUUAGGACUGAGAUACGGCCCAGACUCCUACGGGAGGCAGCAGUGGGGAAUAUUGCACAAUGGGCGCAAGCCUGAUGCAGCGACGCCGCGUGAGGGAUGGAGGCCUUCGGGUUGUGAACCUCUUUCGCUCAUGGUCAAGCCGCAACAAUGGUUGUGGUGAGGGUAGUGGGUAAAGAAGCGCCGGCUAACUACGUG